UUUAUUUCCGUUAUUUCCCAGCAAAUGGAGCUCUCCCAGAUGACCUGCAGCAAGGGCUGUUGCUGGUGGUAGAUUAUGCAACUUGUUCCCAGCCUAGCUGGUGGGGAAGCACAGUGAAAACCAACAUGGUGUGCGCUGGUGGAGAUGGAAUCACCUCCAGUUGUAACGGGGAUUCUGGUGGCCCGCUGAACUGCCAAAGUGCAGAUGGCAGGUGGGAAGUGCAUGGUAUUGUCAGCUUUGGCUCUUCUCUUGGCUGCAACUAUUAUCGGAAGCCUUCUGUCUUCACCCGGGUCUCUGCUUUCGACAGCUGGAUCAAGAAGGUUAUAGAAAGCAACUAACCCAGAGAGACCUGCGUGACAGAUGAGAACAGUGCCAAGAA